rnacentral:lncRNA from 1 species
UCAGAAAGUUCUAAACUGUGCUAAAUUGCAUCUUUUCCAGUAUGUCUACUGUGGCCAGGCCUUGUACUAACAGUUUUCUGCAUUAUUAAUUCCAGUGUGGAAGUUUAUAGCUGGAAGCCAAAGAAACCUGCUCUAAGGAAGAGCGUGCCAGAGCCACCUCUAGCUGUUUCAAGCGUGCAACACAGGUGAAUCGCCUGCACAAGCUGGGGCAAGCUCCCCAGACACCAAGUGAACUAGCAUGAGAGGAAUAACACAAUUGCUCGUGAAAACUAGAAAAUCGUCACCAAGCAAUUAAUCCAGAUUAGGAACCCUCUGAAAAUAGAAUGAAACCCAUUGUCUCUUUAAACAAGGCACAUUGCACUCCAUUACAGGUCCAUUUCCAGAGCAUCUGAAAGACAGGGAAUUGGUAGAAGUUGGAAAAACCAAAGCCUUCAAACCUGGCUACAGGACCAAUAUUUUUGCUGUCCCUCAUAAGUGGAAGUCAUUGCAAAGAGACUGUUGCCCUUCUGCUCUGGAUGAAGAUGUUGUGUUUUAAAACUUAAGACAUACAACUGAAGGAAUGAAACAUCCAAGCAAAGAACUACAAAGGCACUAAAAUGAAGCCUGAAGAGACUUGCCAAUGUCAACAGAGAAAAUCUGCUGCACACCCAGCCUUAACAGGAAGCAGAAAUUCCUCACCUAGAGUUGUCUUCUGAACAGAAAGUUUUGGAGAUGAUAAGCUCUGUAAAAGCAUUGGCCCUUGGAUGGUCCCAGCCAACAGGUCUAUGGUGAGAUGGCAAAGUGACUUCCUCUGAAGUAACACAUGCUGUUAUCUCAGAGCACAUUACAAAGCAGAGGUGGACAUGACAUUUACAUCAAAGUUCAAGUCAUCCUUGUUUCAGUGGACACAUAAUUCUGCGGCCCUUUAGUGAUUCCCCAGCUGUGGAGGUUCAGAGUCUAAGGUCAGACCCUCAUAAAUGGGAAUUUACUCAUGCUCAGCUG